AUUCUCUGGUUUCUAUUCAGAUUGUAUAAAUCUUUCUCAUUUUUCUAAAGACUUCCGUGGAGAGGAACAACUAUGAGUUGUCAAAUCAUUUUUGAGGCUCUACAUGGUAGAGC